UGCCAGCCGCCGCGGUAAUACUAGCGGUCCAAGUCGCAGCCAUUUUUAUUGGGUCUAAAACAUCCGUAGCUUGCUUUGUAAGUUUCUUGUGAAAUCUGAUGUCUUAAACAUUGGGCGUGCAAGAAGUACUGCAUCGCUAGAGACCGGAAGACGUAAGAAGUACGUUCAAAGUAGCGGUAAAAUGUGUUAAUCUUGAACGGACUCACAACAGCGAAGGCAUCUUACGAGGACGGAUCUGACAGUAAGGGAUGAAGGCUAGGGGCGCAAAACGGAUUAGAUA
rnacentral:rRNA from 1 species